GCAAUGGGCUGACUAAGCCAUGCGAGUCAUUGUAGCAAUACAAGGCAGACGGCUCAGUAACGCGUAGUCAACCUACCCUAUGGACGGGGAUAACCUCGGGAAACUGAGAAUAAUACCCGAUAGAACAUUAUGCCUGGAAUGGUUUAUGUUUCAAAUAAUUUAUCGCCAUAGGAUGGGACUGCGGCCUAUCAGUUUGUUGGUGAGGUAAUGGCCCACCAAGACUAUUACAGGUACGGGCUCUGAGAGGAGUAGCCCGGAGAUGGGUACUGAGACACGGACCCAGGCCCUAUGGGGCGCAGCAGGCGAGAAAACUUUGCAAUGUGCGAAAGCACGACAAGGUUAAUCCGAGUGGUUUCUGCUAAAGAAACCUUUUGCUAGUCCUAGAAACACUAGUGAAUAAGGGGUGGGCAAGUUCUGGUGUCAGCCGCCGCGGUAAAACCAGCACCUCAAGUGGUCAGGAUGAUUAUUGGGCCUAAAGCAUCCGUAGCUCGUUUUGUAAGUUUUCGGUUAAAUCCAUACGCUCAACGUAUGGGCUGCCGGGAAUACUGCAUAACUAGGAAGUGGGAGAGGUAGACGGUACUCGGUAGGAAGGGGUAAAAUCCUUUGAUCUAUUGAUGACCACCUGUGGCGAAGGCGGUCUACCAGAACACGUUCGACGGUGAGGGAUGAAAGCUGGGGGAGCCAACCGGAUUAGAUACCCGGGUAGUCCCAGCUGUAAACUAUGCAAACUCAGUGAUGCAUUGGCUUGUGGCCAAUGCAGUGCUGCAGGGAAGCCGUUAAGUUUGCCGCCUGGGAAGUACGUACGCAAGUAUGAAACUUAAAGGAAUUGGCGGGGGAGCACCACAAGGGGUGAAGCCUGCGGUUCAAUUGGAGUCAACGCCGGG
rnacentral:rRNA from 1 species